rnacentral:rRNA from 1 species
CUACGGGGUGCUCCAGUGAGGAAUAUUGCACAAUGGGGGGAACCUUGAUGCAGCAACGCCGCGUGGAGGAUGACGCAUUUCGGUGUGUAAACUCCUUUUAUAUGUCAAGAAAAUGACGGUAGCAUAUGAAUAAGCACCGGCUAACUCCGUGCCAGCAGCCGCGGUAAUACGGAGGGUGCAAGCGUUACUCGGAAUCACUGGGCGUAAAGGACGCGUAGGCGGGUUGGAAAGUCAGGUGUGAAAUCCUACAGCUUAACUGUAGAACUGCACUUGAAACUUCUAAUCUAGAGUAUGGGAGGGGGAGAUGGAAUUAGUGGUGUAGGGGUAAUAUCCGUAGAUAUCACUAGGAAUACCUAAAGCGAAGGCGAUCUCCUGGAACAUUACUGACGCUAAGGCGUGAAAGCGUGGGGAGCAAACAGGAUUAGAUACCCGCGUAGUC